AAGUUCACUGUUGAUACAAUGUUCCUAGAAGCACAAUGCCCAAAAUUUUAAACAGUGGUUAGGUCUCAAAUUUAGCAAAGAUUAUUCAAUUAUAUUUUAAAAACAAAAAUACAGAAAAUAACAUCAUGACAAACAACAAAUAUAAAAAUGCAUAACACCAAACUCAAAUGCAUAACACCAAACUAGAAGCAUAACACCAAACUCAAAUGCAGUCAAGAUAUAUAACCAUUCUAAACAUUCAUCUGUACCCCAAGAGUUACAAUAUUAAAGCCGGAGACAGAUACUUUGAACCAACUUGCACAUCCACUCUUUUUUUAAUAGCUUGAAAAAGAGAGUGAGAAUAAUAAUCAUCUAUUGUGAAUUAAAAGCCCAAGCAAAUUCACCAAGGCAUCAAUGCCGUACCCAAAGCAUGCAUUAUAUCAACCAUGAUUCAACCUUUUUAGUAAAUAAGAAUUCAACAUCAGCCUUCCAAUGAAAUUGCCUAUGAAAGAUGUCCAAAAGGAUUUAAAGCACACAAAAGCAUUUCAGUCCCAGAAAAAGUCUUCUAAUAUAAGAAAUCUAACAAAGCAAACAUCAUUACUAAAGUUCAGGUUAAGGGCAAACCAUGAGGUGCCUGGAACUCUGGCCCAGCAAAGCACAAAUACUGACUGCUUCUGUUGUUUUAAACAUAACUGAAGUCAUUUUGCCUUUAUUUUUUUAUUAUGUUGGUAAGACAGCACAUAUAUAUAUAACCACAAUCAAUUACAUUGUUUCCUAAGAAAGAAUUUUGCAGAAAGAUUACUCAUACUUCAGUGAAUAAUAAUGCGAAACAUUGUGCCAAUUGAAACCUGCUGGAUUCAUUAUAAAUCCUAUAAAUUUUAACACAAUUACUGCCUUCAGCAUACAAAAACAAAUUUAUACAACAAAUAUGCCUGUCAUCUUACAUAAAAACAUACUACUUUUGAAACCUUCGGAACAGGCUCAACACGUGUCAAAUUAAUAAAUAAACAUAAAUUCUAUUUUAACUUCUCCGUUUCACUACACCACUAUCAUCCCCACCGACU
rnacentral:misc_RNA from 1 species